rnacentral:rRNA from 1 species
AGAGUUUGAUCAUGGCUCAGAUUGAACGCUGGAGGCGUGCUUAACACAUGCAAGUCGUGCGAGAAAGGGACUUCGGUCCUGAGUAGAGCGGCGCACGGGUGAGUAACGCGUGGGUGAUCUCCCUUGGUGACCGGGAUAACAGCGGGAAACUGCUGCUAAUACCGGAUAAUCUUCAUGUUUAACUUCAUGGGGUAAAGGUGGCCUCUGCUUGCAAGCUACCACACCGAGAUGAGCCCGCGUCUCAUUAGCUAGUUGGUAGGGUAAUGGCCUACCAAGGCUACGAUGAGUAGCUGGUCUGAGAGGAUGACCAGCCACACUGGGACUGGAACACGGCCCAGACUCCUACGGGAGGCAGCAGUGGGGAAUAUUGCGCAAUGGGCGAAAGCCUGACGCAGCGACGCCUCGUGAGGGAUGAAGGUCUUCGGAUCGUAAACCUCUGUCAAGAGGGAAGAAACCCUUGGAUUCGAAUAGGGUCCUUGGCUGACGGUACCUCAAAAGGAAGCACCGGCUAACUCCGUGCCAGCAGCCGCGAUAAUACGGAGGGUGCAAGCGUUAAUCGGAAUCACUGGGCGUAAAGCGCUCGUAGGCGGUUUGGUCAGUCAGAUGUGAAAGCCCUCGGCUCAACCGGGGAACUGCAUUUGAUACUGCCAGACUUGAGUAUCGGAGAGGGUGGCGGAAUUCCAGGGGUGUAGGAGGUGAAAUCCGUAGAUUAUCCCGGAGGAACACAAGUUGGCGAAGGCGGCCACCUGGACGAUACUGACGCUGAGAGCGAAAGCGUGGGGAGCAAACAGGAUAGAUACCCUGGUAGUC